GCGAAGGUGGCGGAAUUGGUAGACGCGCUAGCUUCAGGUGUUAGUGUUCUUACGGACGUGCGGGUUCAAGUCCCCCCCCUCGCACCA
rnacentral:tRNA from 1 species